CCUACGGGCGGCAGCAGUGGGGAAUAUUGGACAAUGGGGGGAACCCUGAUCCAGCCAUGCCGCGUGUGUGAAGAAGGCCCUCGGGUUGUAAAGCACUUUCAGUGAGGAAGAACGCCUGGUGGUUAAUACCCAUCAGGAAAGACAUCACUCACAGAAGAAGCACCGGCUAACUCCGUGCCAGCAGCCGCGGUAAUACGGAGGGUGCGAGCGUUAAUCGGAAUUACUGGGCGUAAAGCGCGCGUAGGUGGCUUGAUAAGCCGGUUGUGAAAGCCCCGGGCUCAACCUGGGAACGGCAUCCGGAACUGUCAAGCUAGAGUGCAGGAGAGGAAGGUAGAAUUCCCGGUGUAGCGGUGAAAUGCGUAGAGAUCGGGAGGAAUACCAGUGGCGAAGGCGGCCUUCUGGACUGACACUGACACUGAGGUGCGAAAGCGUGGGUAGCAAACAGGAUUAGAUAUCCGGGUAGUC
rnacentral:rRNA from 1 species